ensembl:lncRNA
GAGAAUUGGCAGUGAGGAAAUGAAGGCAGCUGGUAGCUCCAGUCACAAGUUGGGUAGUGGACCAUCCAAGAGGCCAGGGGCUAUAAGGGCUUCCUCCAUGGGCAGGAAAUCUCCUGGCGAAAGGAACCCAUUACUUGGGCUGCAGUGCCUCCCCUCUCCGCCUGGUUAUCUCAGCUCUGGCCAAGGGCAGUCCUCACUCGUGGGGGUGCAGAAGGGACUCUUUGGAAAAUGCUUGUGUUAAUUACGUAGUGUAGUCCUCUUUAGCAGGAACAUUUAGCAGAUAUCAAGUAUAGUCAACUAGCUCUGACUCUGGGGUCAGACAGACCUGGGACCCAAAGGCAACUCUUCCACAUACUUGCUGUGUGACCUCGGGGCCAGAUAAAGCAAACCAGGCACUAGCUUGGGGUGAAAAAGAUUCAGUAAUCAAGAAAUGAAGAGAUGCAAGGAUUGAGAUCAUGAAAACAGUUCCUGAAAAUAUCUAUCUAAAGACCUGUUCCACCCAUCUCCCUGGAGCACAAAGUGCCUCACUCUCCAUGCUGAAUUCCCUCCAGGGAGUGUUGAAGGUCAGCAGCUGCAGCAGAGCAGGCAGAUGGAAAAUGCCCUUGUUGUGGUUGUUCGGUUGCUCACAAAUGCUCUCAAAACUAAGACCUCCACCCAGGUGGAAGAUGGUCACUACAUGCUGGCUACAAACACAUAGACCCCAGACUUCUUGGAACCAGAAGGUUGAGAUUCCUAAAACAUCACCUGUUACCUCACCACCCAUCAAUCAGAAGGUUCAGGAGUUGAUCAUGCGGGUAUCUUGUGAACCUCCCCCUAACCCUGUCUUUAAUCAUUGUCUAAAUGAUCAUGGGAUUUGAGUCAUGAGUACAAGCCACUUGUUCUCCUUGCUUGGCCUGUGCAAUAAACCUUUCUCUG